rnacentral:rRNA from 1 species
UACGUAGGGUGCAAGCGUUAAUCGGAAUUACUGGGCGUAAAGCGUGCGCAGGCGGUUUCGUAAGUCUGAUGUGAAAUCCCCGGGCUUAACCUGGGAAUUGCAUUGGAGACUGCGAGGCUAGAAUCUGGCAGAGGGGGGUAGAAUUCCACGUGUAGCAGUGAAAUGCGUAGAGAUGUGGAGGAACACCGAUGGCGAAGGCAGCCCCCUGGGUCAAGAUUGACGCUCAUGCACGAAAGCGUGGGGAGCAAACAGG